GCAUGCCUACAACAUAGUGUUAAUGCAUCGGAUCCCAUUAUAACUUUGUAGUUAAGUGCACUCAAGCUAGAUUAGUACUGGGAUGGGUGACCGCUCAGGAAGUUCGAGUGUUUUACAUGCC
rnacentral:rRNA from 1 species